CUACGGAGGGUCCAAGCGUUAUCCGGAUUCAUUGGGUUUAAAGGGUCCGCAGGCGGGAAAAUAAGUCAGUGGUGAAAGCCUACAGCUCAACUGUAGAACUGCCAUUGAUACUGUUUUUCUUGAGUAUAGAUGAAGUGGGCGGGAUAUAUCAUGUAGCGGUGAAAUGCAUAGAUAUGAUAUAGAACACCGAUUGCGAAGGCAGCUCACUAAACUAUUACUGACGCUCAGGGACGAAAGCGUGGGGAGCGAACAGGAUUAGAAACCCUAGUAGUCC
rnacentral:rRNA from 1 species